GCCUCUGUGGAUCAGUGGUUGAUCAUCUGAAAAUUAUAGGCUUGCCGCGCUCAUUCCUUCAGGAGCUGUGGGUUCGAAUCCCACCAGAGGCA